UGGGGAAUAUUGCACAAUGGGCGGAAGCCUGAUGCAGCGACGCCGCGUGGGGGAUGAAGGCCUUCGGGUUGUAAACUCCUUUCGACAGGGACGAAGCUUUUGUGACGGUACCUGUAUAAGAAGCACCGGCUAACUACGUGCCAGCAGCCGCGGUAAUACGUAGGGUGCGAGCGUUGUCCGGAAUUACUGGGCGUAAAGAGCUCGUAGGUGGUUUGUCGCGUCGUCUGUGAAAUUCCGGGGCUUAACUCCGGGCGUGCAGGCGAUACGGGCUGACUUGAGUGCUGUAGGGGAGACUGGAAUUCCUGGUGUAGCGGUGAAAUGCGCGGAUAUCAGGAGGAACACCGAUGGCGAAGGCAGGUCUCUGGGCAGUAACUGACGCUGAGGAGCGAAAGCAUGGGUAGCGAACAGG
rnacentral:rRNA from 1 species